GGAGCCGGCGGACGCGGAGGCUCUGAGCCAGUACGCGACCUUCUUGUGGAAGGCGCGGGACAACCUCGCCGGCGCGGAGGACACCUACCAGGAGGCCAUCGCGGCCGACCCCGGGAACGCCCACCACGCCGCCGCCUACGCCCACUUCCUCUGGAACACCGGAGGUGAGGACACAUGCUACCCCCUCGAUUGACGCGCGAACACCGGCACCGACACGAACCGGCCAGGCCAAAGAUCGAAAAAAAAUGAAAAAUUUAGAAUUCAAGAAGUCAAGUUCUUGCAGCAUGCGCGGGGGCGGCCACGCGGCGAGACGGCUAGACCACGACAUCACACCCAUGGCCCGGGCGG
rnacentral:lncRNA from 1 species